GGACAUAUCAGAAUCGAAAUACUGGUUCUUGUCUAAUCACCAAAGUUAAGCAAUGUCCAGCUUGGUUAGUACCUCGAUGGGUGACCACUUGGGAAUACCUGGUAUUGUAA